rnacentral:rRNA from 1 species
AAUAGAUACCCCGGUAGUCCACGCCGUAAACGGUGGGCACUAGGUGUGGGCAGCAUUCCACGUUGUCCGUGCCGUAGCUAACGCAUUAAGUGCCCCGCCUGGGGAGUACGGCCGCAAGGCUAAAACUCAAAGGAAUUGACGGGGGCCCGCACAAGCGGCGGAGCAUGUGGCUUAAUUCGACGCAACGCGAAGAACCUUACCAAGGCUUGACAUACACCGGAAACAUCCAGAGAUGGGUGCCCCCUUGUGGUCGGUGUACAGGUGGUGCAUGGCUGCCGUCAGCUCGUGUCGUGAGAUGUUGGGUUAAGUCCCGCAACGAGCGCAACCCUUGUCCCGUGUUGCCAGCAGGCCCUUGUGGUGCUGGGGACUCACGGGGAGACCGCCGGGGUCAACUCGGAGGAAGGUGGGGACGACGUCAAGUCAUCAUGCCCCUUAUGUCUUGGGCUGCACACGUGCUACAAUGGCCGGUACAAAGAGCUGCGAUACCGUGAGGUGGAGCGAAUCUCAAAAAGCCGGUCUCAGUUCGGAUUGGGGU